rnacentral:rRNA from 1 species
UACGUAGGGUGCAAGCGUUGUCCGGAUUUAUUGGGCGUAAAGAGCUCGUAGGCGGCUUGUCGCGUCGACUGUGAAAACCCGUGGCUCAACCAUGUGGUCUGCAGUCGAUACGGGCAGGCUAGAAUUCGGUAGGGGAGACUGGAAUUCCUGGUGUAGCGGUGAAAUGCGCAGAUAUCAGGAGGAACACCGGUGGCGAAGGCGGGUCUCUGGGCCGAUAUUGACGCUGAGGAGCGAAAGCGUGGGGAGCGAACAGG